AUUGAACGCUGGCGGCAGGCCUAACACAUGCAAGUCGAGCGGAGCGGCGGAAGGGUGAGUAAUGCCUAGGAAUCUGCCUGGUAGUGGGGGAUAACGUCCGGAAACGGGCGCUAAUACCGCAUCCUAUCAGAUGAGCCUAGGUCGGAUUAGCUAGUUGGUGGGGUAAGGGCCUACCAAGGCGACGAUCCGUAACUUGUCUGAGAGGAUGAUCAGUCACACUGGGACUGAGAGACGGUCCAGACGCCUACGGUAGGCAGCAGUGGGGAAGAUUGGUCAAUGGGCGAAAGCCUGAUCCAGCCAUGCCGCGUGUGUGAAGAAGGUCUUCGGAUUGUAAAGCACUGUUAGUUGGGAGGCGUUACCAACAGAAUAGGCACCGGCUAACUACGUGCCAGCAGCCGCGGUAAUUC
rnacentral:rRNA from 1 species